rnacentral:piRNA from 1 species
UCAGACGUUCUGUGACUCCUGUCCCA